AAGGGCAGAAAAUGUGUUCUGUUAUUAAAAAUGUUAGAACUGAGGUACAAAGUAGUACACAGUUGAAUAUUCUUCUGGGAAAGCUUACACAACUGCAUUGUUAUCAGAAAUUUGAAAAGGAAAGUAAAAUCCAUGAAAAAGAGCAGCCUCUGUCCCUGUCUUGUGACAUAAAGAUGAGAAGGAAAGAAAGCACAGCCUGUAUCCUGGUUUUACUUCACCGGCAAGGUUUUGGAAUGUGGGUCUUGCUCUCCUUGGUAUCUGACCUGAGUUUGCCCCCACUUUCUACUUCCAACCUGACAUCGCAAGGUGACCUUCACACUGCUGCAGAGCUAAAACACAUUUCACUGAAAAGAAAGCAUUAUAAGAGAAGAUGUGAAAUGGUUCUGAAAAUACAUGCUAAUUCUCUUCUAUGAGAUCUAUUACUUUUUCUUCAUUCAAACAACAAUGACAACAUUUGGAUUUGCUAUGAAUGUAAGAUCCAGGAAGACAGAAACAAUGUCUAUCUAAUUCACUGCUGUAUUCACUGGACUAUUACCAGACAUAAAGAUUGUUUUAGCUGUUUGGGAAGGGACUCUCUCACCCAUACCACUGGAAGCCAAAUUCUCCAUGACUGAGCCAACAACCCCAGUGCCUAUGUUCAUAAGAACAGUGCUGCUGGUUGCUUUCUGUGGAUACCAAGAGUAUCUUUGGAGGCAGGAAAACAACAACAACAACAACAACAAAUCACCACCACACCUCUGUCUCCAAAUUUGAGAACACAAAAGAAAUCUUGAUUGAGACAAGAUUUUGGAGGCAAU